AGGAUGAACGCUGGCGGCGUGCCUAAUACAUGCAAGUCGAGCGAACGGACGAGAAGCUUGCUUCUCUGAUGUUAGCGGCGGACGGGUGAGUAACACGUGGAUAACCUACCUAUAAGACUGGGAUAACUUCGGGAAACCGGAGCUAAUACCGGAUAAUAUUUUGAACCGCAUGGUUCAAAAGUGAAAGACGGUCUUGCUGUCACUUAUAGAUGGAUCCGCGCUGCAUUAGCUAGUUGGUAAGGUAACGGCUUACCAAGGCAACGAUGCAUAGCCGACCUGAGAGGGUGAUCGGCCACACUGGAACUGAGACACGGUCCAGACUCCUACGGGAGGCAGCAGUAGGGAAUCUUCCGCAAUGGGCGAAAGCCUGACGGAGCAACGCCGCGUGAGUGAUGAAGGUCUUCGGAUCGUAAAACUCUGUUAUUAGGGAAGAACAUAUGUGUAAGUAACUGUGCACAUCUUGACGGUACCUAAUCAGAAAGCCACGGCUAACUACGUGCCAGCAGCCGCGGUAAUACGUAGGUGGCAAGCGUUAUCCGGAAUUAUUGGGCGUAAAGCGCGCGUAGGCGGUUUUUUAAGUCUGAUGUGAAAGCCCACGGCUCAACCGUGGAGGGUCAUUGGAAACUGGAAAACUUGAGUGCAGAAGAGGAAAGUGGAAUUCCAUGUGUAGCGGUGAAAUGCGCAGAGAUAUGGAGGAACACCAGUGGCGAAGGCGACUUUCUGGUCUGUAACUGACGCUGAUGUGCGAAAGCGUGGGGAUCAAACAGGAUUAGAUACCCUGGUAGUCCACGCCGUAAACGAUGAGUGCUAAGUGUUAGGGGGUUUCCGCCCCUUAGUGCUGCAGCUAACGCAUUAAGCACUCCGCCUGGGGAGUACGACCGCAAGGUUGAAACUCAAAGGAAUUGACGGGGACCCGCACAAGCGGUGGAGCAUGUGGUUUAAUUCGAAGCAACGCGAAGAACCUUACCAAAUCUUGACAUCCUUUGACAACUCUAGAGAUAGAGCCUUCCCCUUCGGGGGACAAAGUGACAGGUGGUGCAUGGUUGUCGUCAGCUCGUGUCGUGAGAUGUUGGGUUAAGUCCCGCAACGAGCGCAACCCUUAAGCUUAGUUGCCAUCAUUAAGUUGGGCACUCUAAGUUGACUGCCGGUGACAAACCGGAGGAAGGUGGGGAUGACGUCAAAUCAUCAUGCCCCUUAUGAUUUGGGCUACACACGUGCUACAAUGGACAAUACAAAGGGCAGCGAAACCGCGAGGUCAAGCAAAUCCCAUAAAGUUGUUCUCAGUUCGGAUUGUAGUCUGCAACUCGACUACAUGAAGCUGGAAUCGCUAGUAAUCGUAGAUCAGCAUGCUACGGUGAAUACGUUCCCGGGUCUUGUACACACCGCCCGUCACACCACGAGAGUUUGUAACACCCGAAGCCGGUGGAGUAACCUUUUAGGAGCUAGCCGUCGAAGGUGGGACAAAUGAUUGGGGU
rnacentral:rRNA from 1 species